UUGAAACAAAUAAUCUUAUUCUCAAGAGAAUGACACGUGGUCUGAAAUGGGAAAACAUUACGCCAAAGAUAAAGACGUCUAUUUGGUUAUCUAAAUCACCAAAGUUCAUUUACAUUUAGUGGGUAGGUAGGUGUGGCCGUGGGUUAGACCAAUAUGUCUCAAGAGCUUUUGGACAAUGAAAGGCCAAAAUCCGCUUGAAAUUAGCUUCAGGACGUGGGAUGUUAAGAGAACGUCGUUGAGUGAUGGCAUCUCUGAGGUAAAAAGGAAGUUCAAAAGUGAAGUCGCGAUGUGGCAAGCAGAGAUUCUCCCGCGGUUUAAACGGCAGAAGACAUAACAAGCAUAAUAAAAUAGCAAUAUUUUGAAAAUACGACCUCCCAUAUAAUACACAUUUCCGCACCGCAUGGAGUUUUCAGAAGUCAAGCAGAUAUCUGCUCUUUGAAAACAAUGGAUUCAAAAACAUGUUGUACGAGCUGCACGCAUGUCGUAGGCUAUACAACGACUUGUAGCCUUACAGUGUAGGCGUAGCUUGUUUCACGUGAAGUCAGCUGCUGUGAAAAAUCAGGGUUGCGCUCUGGUCACGGUAGGGACGGAAGUGACGACAUCCGUUGAAGCAGAGUCACGGCGUGAAAGUUCCUCGAUAGCGGUCAAUCAAGAAGUACUAUGUUCCCUCUUCAUGCCUCAUGCAUGUCYAACUAGAAAAACUUAGCAAAACAUCCACUCCUUCCCCAAGAUACAAUAAAAACAAAACUGAAUCUAUAACGCUCGCUUCGAAUCUGACUAAUUCAAAAUUGUUCAACCUGAUCGAGUACUACUUUCGUGCGUAACACCGCAGACCGGGCUCAUAGCCCGAUAUCGUCUUAUUGGGCUAUAUCGUCUUAUUGGGCUAUAUCGUCUUAUUGGGCUAUGUCGUCUUAUUGGGCUAUGUCGUCUUAUUGGGCUAUAUAUCGCCU